rnacentral:rRNA from 1 species
GAUGAACGCUGGCGGCGUGCCUAACACAUGCAAGUCGAACGGAGUUACUUUGGUGAAGUUUUCGGAUGGAUCUGAUUUAACUUAGUGGCGGACGGGUGAGUAAUGCGUGAGCAACCUGCCCUUCAGAGGGGGACAACAGUUGGAAACGACUGCUAAUACCGCAUAAUGUAUUCGGAAGGCAUCUUCUGGAUACCAAAGGUGAAAUCCGCUGAAGGAUGGGCUCACGUCUGAUUAGUUAGUUGGUGAGGUAACGGCUCACCAAGACUGCGAUCAGUAGCCGGACUGAGAGGUUGAACGGCCACAUUGGGACUGAGAUACGGCCCAGACUCCUACGGGAGGCAGCAGUGGGGAAUAUUGGGCAAUGGGCGAAAGCCUGACCCAGCAACGCCGCGCGAAGGAAGAAGGCCUUCGGGUUGUAAACUUCUUUUAAGAGGGACGAAGAAGUGACGGUACCUCUUGAAUAAGCCACGGCUAACUACGUGCCAGCCGCCGCCGUAA